GAACCCCUGCGAUAGUUAUGCCCCAUUUCAGCGUACGCCAUUCAAACCCAUCGCCCAUUUCGAACCCCUGCUGUGCGAUUCAAUGCAAUUUCAGUUCCUAGGUUGCGAGAGUUCUGUUGUGCAAUUCAAUGCGAUUUCAGUUCCUAAACCUACAUUUUGCUGCGAUUUCGAUUCCUACAAACUGCUGCGAUUUCGAUUUCGAUUUCGAGCAAACCCUUAAAAUCAAACCCCGCUGCGAUUUUAUUCAGAUUGCGAGCCUGCUGCGAUUCAUCUGUCAAAUCCCCAAAACCCUGUUGCGAUUUCUGAUCGAUUGACCAGGUAUUUUUGAUUUUGUAUAUUUCUUGAAUACAAUUUCUUCAUUUUGUGUUGUUUUGAUCUUUGAAAGUUUAAUGGUGCUGGAGUUCGGCUGGAAGUUCAUAGUAGUUAGUAACCACUAGUUUGUUUUGUUUUUUUGGCACUACAUCUGAAGAGAUCCUUGACGAAUUAAAUUUUGUUUUAAUAGAUGAAUGAAGAAGAAUAUAGCAGGUUUAAAAGUCACAUACAAACACAAGGCCAUCAAACAAGCAUAGACCAUGAAGCAAAAGAAAAUCUAAAUUCUAUAGGCUGCAUCUCCUUUAAAUUUGUAGAUUGGACAAAUCAAAUUGGGAUUUCCAAAAUAUGAAAUUAAGAAGUUGAAAAGAUAAAUUUUGAACUGGAAACUACAGUCACUAUCUUCUAAAUAAAAAAGAUUAAUGGAAAUAAGAGGAAAUAACCUUCGCUGCACUGGAGGUAUUCCUUCCUUCUCCUCAACCCGUUCCUUAAUCCGGUCAAUGGUAUCAGUUGGUUCAAUAUCAAUUUCAAUUUCCUUUCCAGUGAGAGUCUUCACCUUGAUCAUAGUUUCUCCUCUAAGUCUCAGAACUAAGUGCAGUGUUGACUCUUUCUGGAUGUUGUAAUCUGCAAGAGUUCGGCCAUCUUCCAACUGCUUGCCAGCAAAAAUCAGUCUCUGCUGGUCCGGAGGGAUACCUUCCUUGUCCUGGCAUGCACAAAUACACCACGUGUUCAAAAUAAGACGCAACUCAUUAGCACAUCAAGAGUGGUCUGCAAUAACUAGCCUAGUUGUUUAAACAAGUAACAAGAAGACAAAUAUAAAUGAGAAAUACAACAGACAGAUCCAAAAUUGAAUUAUAUGGUAGGCUAUUCAUUUCUUUUACUUCAAACAAUAAUUCAUAGGUUAAAUGUUCUCCGACAGAAACAGUUUUUGACAAUUAACUAUGCAUAACAACUUCCCACAAAUAUUGAAUAUAAAAACUUGUUUUCAUAGCUUCGCAGCCAACCUAUUGAAGCGUCCAAAAGCAUUCAGCCACUUCAAUGCCAUUGUAUUCUCACUGCUUGGUUAUAUUUUUUCAUGUUGCUCAUAUCCAUUUUGGAUGGGAAUUUUUAUAAAUUAUUUAAUACUCGAUAUUUUGAUGAAUGUGUAGGAAACAUAUGGAUAUUAAUCCCGGACCUACUAAUCCUAUUGUGUUAUGGGACCAAGAAAAUCACGUAUCGUCGGACUUAUGGCAAAAUAUUGUAAGUUUAUUAAUGUUUAGAGACUUUCAUUUUGUUAAACAUUUGUUAGAAAUAUUCAUGUUGUGACGAUUUAUGUUUUCAUGUUGUUGGACGUGUAGGAUGGGGGUGUGUUAGAAAUGUGUCAAAUGUCUGCAAAAUUAACUAAACGGAAUUUGACUGAACAACAAGAAUAUUUGCUGGAACAAGUAGGUUUUGGUGUAUUUUGUCAUCAAUCUAUAGUGUCAAAGAUUGAUGCAUCUCUUGUAUCUGCUCUAGUUGAACGUUGGAGAAGUGAAACAAAUACGUUUCACUUAAAUUGUGGAGAGAUUAGCAUUUUUUUAGAGGAUGUGGGAUUUUUAUUUGGGUUGCCCGUUUUAGGAAAACCUUUGACUUGCGGAGAAUUAGAAAAUCCCAAAACCUAUUUUAUAAGGGUUUUUGGGCAACAAGUUGUAGUAGAUGAGUGGGAACAAUGCUAUAAAAAGGGGGGCAUAAGUUUGCCAUGGUUAAGACAGAGAUACCUGGUGAUGCUACUCCAGAUGAUGUCGUAAAACACACCAAGGCAUAUCUGUUGUACUUGUGUGGCGCUAUUUUGUUUCCAACCAAGCUUAAAAAUGUUGUGCAUCCUAGAUAUUUGUUGCUAUUGGAAAGAUUGGAAGACGUAGUUACAUAUGCUUGGGGGUGGCAGUUUUAGGGCAUCUGUAUAGGGGUUUGCAUGAGGCUACUCGCAAAACAACGAAAAAAUUCGCCGGUUGUGCAACCCUUCUUAUGAUGUGGGCUCAUGAACGGUUCAACAUUGGUCGUCCUACCCCUAAGCCUAUGUCCCAGAAGUUGAUACCUAGGGCAUUAUCCUGGGCAUACUCCUCUUUUGAUCCUAAUUCAAAACAAUAUCAGCGCCUUAAAAAUCCACAUCACCAUCUUCUAUUUUACUGAGGAGAGUUUAAUAAUAUGUUGGAAACAGAUGGGGUGUGGUGUCCAUAUUAGUUAUUUGAUAGACGUUUGUCUUGGGAUUUUUUUGAGGCAAGGUUAGGUGGAGCUGCUCGUAUACCAUUGAUACAUUACGACAUUGUUGAGUUCCAAAUGCCUGACAAAUUUAUGAGACAAUUUGGAUAUUUGCAGUCGUAUCCAUCUAAUGCUGAAAAUAUGGUGGAAUUGCGGAAGGAACAUAAAUUAUUUCAGAGAAUAAAUUUUGAAAAUAAUAGGGCCAACUAUAUUCGCCUGUGGGAUGCAUACAUGGAGAGUUUAGAAGGACAAGUGUUGGAGGCUUUGCAACAUAUAUCUACCGAGGAUUAUAUGACGUGGUAUAGAGAAAUUACUCGACGACGGAUACACCAUACUCGACCCUUUAGGCGUCAAGGGGAAGAUUAUGAGCCACGGGUAUUCAUUGACCAAUAUUUGGCUGUAAACACUGUAAGUUAUUCAAUUUAUAAAAUUUAUUAAUGUUUUUGUUUUAUUAAAACUGAUUAUCUUGUUUUAUUAAUAUAAUUUUUUUUAUUUAAUUGUAGAUUGAGAGUGCAAAAGCUAUAUUUGAAAAGAUGUUGUCAAUUGGACAUCCACCUGAGUUAAGAAUCAUGUAUGACACAUGGUUCAAUACAUUAUACCAGCCGUUGAUGAAUGACUAUAGAGGGGUUCCAUUCAAUCCAAAUCCAACGCAACCUCAAGUUGGGCAGAUGGAGAUUGACAUGACAGGAUCCCAACCAACAGUUGGGCAGAUGGAGAUUGACAUGACAGGAUCCCAACCUACAGUUGUAGAGACUCAGCCUAGCGUUGGCCCUUCUACUCGACAUAGUAAGAAAGUGCCAGCUAGAAGGAUGGAGGGAACAAAGCACACUCACUUUUUCAAGUACUUAAAGAUGGAAAAAAUCAAUUGGCUAAAUCAGCAUUGGUUUAGUCCAACUCACGACCCAUCAGACUUUCCUCAUAGCCAUCCAGAAGGUCUAUACAUAUUCGUUCCAGUCUUCAACGAAAUCAACAGUCAUUUUUGCUUGUUUAUUUGGAGUGUCAACAAGUGGAAAGUAAUGCUACUUGACCCACUUUAUGAUGACAAACCAUUAAUGCCAGUGUCAUAAAUAUACCAAAACUUCUUUGCGAUUGUGGUGAGUUCAAAAAUAUAUUUUUUGUUUUUAAUGUCAUUACACAGACAUACAAUUUCUUCUAAUUCGGACUUAUAAGUAAUGGGUUUAUGAUUUAUAGGUGGAGUUAAUUCCUUUGCUGCUUCGUCAAGCAAAUCCUACAGCAAAGUGGCCAAAAUCGAAGCCGAAAGUUGAAGUCUGUGUGAAUAGACCAAAACAAUGGAACGCAGACGAUUGUGGCAUAUAUGUUGUGAAGUACGUGGAUUUCUUUUUACACCGUAUAAACAUAAUGGAUGAACUGAGGUGGACUCUUAACGAGGCUUAUAAUUUUAGAUUUAGAAUAGCACAUGAGCUUAAGAUGUGUAAAGCUAGGAACAUUCUUGAAAAAUAUAUUUGACUAACUUUUGUAAUACGUUGAUUUAAUUAUGACAGCUAUUAAAUUGUUUGAUUCACGAUCAUAUGACAAGGUUUGAUUCUAGUUCGGGCCUGAGUUUGAUUCUAUUGACCAUUUGCAGGGACCAUUUGAGACAUUUUUAGUUGGUGGAGACAUGGCUGAGGUCUGUGAUAUUAAACUUAGUAAUGAUGGUAACUCAAUGCUUCUGACCACUAGAAAGAAAACAGCGUUAUAUCUUUUGAGAAAAUGUAUUUUGUAUUUAUUAAUGUUUUUCUAUUUUUUUAUUUGAAGCUGCUUUUGCUUUAUUAGUUCACUUUUGCUUUGUGAUGCUUGUGAGUCUAAUAUGUCUCAUCAUGAUUCUCUAAUGCAGGGACCUGGGCAUCUCAAAUUUUUUGGGCAGCUAUACAACUCUGCAAGUACAUUCCAGAAGCAAAGUGGCCAAAAUCAUGAAGACCAAACCUGUUGAAUUACGAAAAUCAUGAAGCUACGGAAUUGGGAGCAUGGGUCAGCUUCCAGCAUGAAACGCCUAGUGCCUACGGAAUUGCACGCUUGGGUCAGCUUAGCUUCUCCCAGAAAGCUCAUUUGGCGUGUGUACAGUUUUGACUGAAAAGAUGGCACAUAUGUUUUACCCAAUCCAUUAUUGUUUUAUUUUUUCCCCUCUUUUCCGUAUGGCACAAGUUCAUGUUUAUAGUUUACUAUCAAUAUGAAUAUUUCUACUUGAUAAUUUCCACUAAAUAUUUUUACUUGGGGAGUUCUA
rnacentral:lncRNA from 1 species